GCUUCUCUAUCAACUCAAGCUUCGAUUUCUUCGGUUUCGCCUGCUUCGUCCUCCGGUUUCGGCACCAAAAAAAGACCCAACCAGCCUAGGAGGCCCGCCCAGCCGCCUAGCUCCCGCCUAGCCGCCUAUCCACCCGCCUAGGCCGAUUUUUCGAACGCUGCGAUUGACUGGAAGUCUGAAACCCGAAAUUGAAAAAUUUUAGCUGCAAAUUUGAGCUUAAGAUUGAGAUUGGGAAGCCGAAGCAGUGAAGCACAAGUCAAGUCCACAGAAGAAGAGAUGAUGAGCCUCUUAAUUCAUCUAAUUCCAUUCCUCUCCCUGUUUCCCGCUUUAUUCUCUUCUCUCUUGGCUCUCUCCCAAACGACAUGUUCACCUCACCACACCAACGACAACGACGACAAUUCCUCCCCUCUGCCAACUCCGCCUUAUUCUCUUCUCUCUUCGCAUUGAAGAAAAAAACACAAAAUUUGCUGACUUGGUGUCUGUCUUCAGUGGAAGGAAAUGAUGAAGCUAUCCUAUCAUGGAGUUUCCAUGGUCUUGCCGAUAACAAGUGAAAUUUCUUACAUCAAUCAGCUCACUGAACCACAGCAGGCACCCACUUCCUCCAUCCCUGGCAUCCAAGUUUGCCAAAGCUGUGCAGGAGCAGUUCUUCAUGCACAACAUCUCACAUUCCUUGAGUUCCAUACUUCUGUUAAACCCAGAUACAUCAUUUGCAGUCUGUUUUGUUCACUCUUAAGUUUGUUUCCCAUUUCAGCGUCAAGUCUUCAGCUUUCAAUUAUAUGCUAAAUUGAAAGAAAAUAUAUAAUGUUUGACUGCAUUUGUAUGUCACAGAGAGACUCAUUGGCUACUGAUGAGAGGCUUACGCUCUAGACGAAGAGGUUCGUAUCUUUUUCAAUUUAUUUUUUGUAAUUUUCAAUUCAAUGAAAAAGUAGCCGAAAGAGAGUGUUGGAUUUGAGAAAUAGGCUUUGCAAUGCUUUUUAUGCACUGAUGUACUCAAUCCAUCUACUCGGUUUUUAAAAAAUGUGAAUGUAUUAUUGAACAAUACGUACAUAUAUAUAUAUAUAUGUGUGUGUGUUUGUGUGCACGUAUAUAUGUACAAAAGACUAUAGUGGCU